rnacentral:rRNA from 1 species
AAAAUAGCUCAUCACAACAAAGCUAUUCGCCAGAGUACUACUAGCAACAGCCUAAAACUCAAAGGACUUGGCGGUGCUUUACAUCCCUCUAGAGGAGCCUGUUCCAUAAUCGAUAAACCCCGAUAAACCCCACCAUCCCUUGCUAAUUCAGCCUAUAUACCGCCAUCUUCAGCAAACCCUAAACAAGGUACCGAAGUAAGCACAAACAUCCAACAUAAAAACGUUAGGUCAAGGUGUAGCCCAUGGGAUGGAGAGAAAUGGGCUACAUUUUCUACUCUAAGAACAAGAAUUUAACCCAGACGGAAGUUUCCAUGAAAUUGGAGACCGAAGGAGGAUUUAGCAGUAAAUUAAGAAUAGAGAGCUUAAUUGAAUCAGGCCAUGAAGC